rnacentral:hammerhead_ribozyme from 1 species
AUCCAGUUGACGAGUCUCAAAUAGAACGAAACCCGUGUGCUGGAU